rnacentral:rRNA from 1 species
UACGUAGGGGGGCAAGCGUUGUCCGGAUUUAUUGGGCGUAAAGAGCGUGUAGGCGGCUUGGUAGGUCCGCUGUGAAAACUCGAGGCUCAACCUCGAGACGCCGGUGGAAACCAUCAGGCUAGAGUCCGGAAGAGGAGAGUGGAAUCCUGGUGUAGCGGUGAAAUGCGCAGAUAUCAGGAAGAACACCCGUGGCUAAGGCGGCUCUCUAGUACGGUACUGACGCUGAGACGCGAAAGCGUGGGGAGCGAACAGG